AAGUGAUCUGCCCACCUCAGCCUCCCAAAGUGCUGGGAUUACAGGUGCGAGCCACUGCGCCCAGCCUAUGUUUUGUUUUUAAUACUGAAAACAUCUUUUGUUUUCCUGUAGAUGUAUCUGUACAUAACGUGUUAUGACAACAACAACAAAAAACUACAAACAAACUAAUAAAAAUAACUACAUCUUAUUAUCCCUGUUUAACAGAUAAGAAACUGAGAUCCAAGGACACACAUCCAGGACUUGGAAGACUAGAAGACUGAACUGGGGUCUACCUGAUGCCACCACCUUUGCUCUUACAAAAUUAACUAUUACAGACCUUGUGGGAGAAGUCCUUCCUCCACCUCAUCAGCCACAGGAAUGACAAGAUGACAGACUGCAACAGCCAGUCUGUCCACGCACAGUGCAGGUGGAAGUGCAGAAGACUGUGCAGGCACCGCAGGAGACUGGGCGGGCAGCAGGACACCAAGCCUGGAGCAGAGCAGAGAACAAGAUUUCUUGGAGUGUGAAGGUCAGUGCCUCUAGCUUCAGAGGGGUUGGGGUUAAGGAAUUGAAAACAAAAUAAAACAAAAAUCCUAAAUUAUCGAUACUUAUGGAUAUUCCAUCCUCUUUAGAUUGUAUCAUUUGACUAUGACUCACAAGAAAUAUAUUUUUACAUUGUGGUGUAAUAUAAAAAUACAUAAGAAACAAAUUUUUCAAAAAGAAUAUAUGUUGCUAUGUGUGACAAAGUAAAAAUAUAUCAAAAUUUGUAUUAAAGAUUAGCAGAGGCCAGGCGCAGUGGCUCAUGCCUGUAAUCCCAGCACUUUGGGAGGCCGAGGCG
rnacentral:lncRNA from 1 species